GCCAGCUAUUCUCUACUGAGGCCAACUGUGAGCCCUGGUGUAUUUCAUUGGCAGGAGAAGAGGCUAAUUAAGUGAAACUGAAAGGUCCCUGACUACGGCUCCCCAGAGCCUGCCUUCAUCUAGGAUGGCUCCUCUGGGCAUGCUACUUGGGCUGCUGAUGGCCGCCUGCUUCACCUUCCGCCUCAGUCAUCAGAACCUGAAGGAGUUUGCCCUGACCAACCCAGAGAAGAGCAGCACCAAAGAAACGGAGAGAAAAGAAACCAAAGCCGAGGAAGAGCUGGAUGCCGAAGUCCUGGAGGUGUUCCACCCGACGCAUGAGUGGCAGGCCCUUCGGCCAGGAAGGUGCUUCUUGUCAAGAGAAAAAAAAUCUUCUGGUUAUAUGGGCAGAAAUUCAAGUGGAGUAUUUCGUCUUCUUUGGAAGAAAGAUAAAGCCUAUAAUGCCCUUUCUUCAAUGAGACACAUUCUUCGGAGAGGGAAUGGCCAAGAGCUGAGCCCAGAUUGUAUUUUGGCAUUUGAUUGUUGCUGCCGUGCCUUGAAUAUAGC
rnacentral:sRNA from 1 species